rnacentral:rRNA from 1 species
UACGUAGGGGGCAAGCGUUGUCCGGAAUCAUUGGGCGUAAAGAGCGUGUAGGCGGCCCGAUAAGUCCGCCGUGAAAGCCCAGGGCUCAACCCUGGGAUGCCGGUGGAUACUGUCGGGCUAGAAUCCGGAAGAGGCGAGUGGAAUUCCUGGUGUAGCGGUGAAAUGCGCAGAUAUCAGGAGGAACACCGGUGGCGAAGGCGGGUCUCUGGGCAACAACUGACGCUGAGGAGCGAAAGCGUGGGGAGCGAACAGG